rnacentral:rRNA from 1 species
GGUUAAUACCCUGUGUAGAUGACGGUACCGGAAUAAGAAGCACCGGCUAACUACGUGCCAGCAGCCGCGGUAAUACGUAGGGUGCGAGCGUUAAUCGGAAUUACUGGGCGUAAAGCGUGCGCAGGCGGUUUUGUAAGACAGGCGUGAAAUCCCCGGGCUCAACCUGGGAACUGCGUUUGUGACUGCAAGGCUAGAGUAUGGCAGAGGGGGGUGGAAUUCCACGUGUAGCAGUGAAAUGCGUAGAGAUGUGGAGGAACACCGAUGGCGAAGGCAGCCCCCUGGGCCAAUACUGACGCUCAUGCACGAAAGCGUGGGUAGCAAACAGGAUUAGAUACCCUGGUAGUCCACGCCCUAAACGAUGUCAACUAGGUGUUGGGAGGGUAAAACCUUUUAGUGCCGUAGCUAACA